GAUGAAGAACGUAGCGAAAUGCGAUAAGUAGUGUGAAUUGCAGAAUUCAGUGAAUCAUCGAAUCUUUGAACGCACAUUGCGCCCUUUGGUAUUCCAAAGGGCAUGCCUGUUCGAGCGUCAUUUGUACCCUCAAGCUUUGCUUGGUGUUGGGCGUCUUGUCUCUAGCUUUGCUGGAGACUCGCCUUAAAGUAAUUGGCAGCCGGCCUACUGGUUUCGGAGCGCAGCACAAGUCGCACUCUCUAUCAGCAAAGGUCUAGCAUCCAUUAAGCCUUUUUUUCAACUUUUGACCUCGGAUCAGGUAGGGAUACCCGCUGAACUUAAGCAUAUCAAUAAGCGGGAGGA
rnacentral:misc_RNA from 1 species